CCUACGGGCGGCAGCAGUGGGGAAUAUUGCACAAUGGGCGAAAGCCUGAUGCAGCAACGCCGCGUGAGCGAUGAAGGCCUUCGGGUCGUAAAGCUCUGUCCUCAAGGAAGAUAAUGACGGUACUUGAGGAGGAAGCCCCGGCUAACUACGUGCCAGCAGCCGCGGUAAGACGUAGGGGGCGAGCGUUAUCCGGAAUUACUGGGCGUAAAGGGUGUGUAGGUGGUUUCUUAAGUCAGAGGUGAAAGGCUAGGGCUCAACAGGAGUAAGCCUUUGAAACUGGGGAACUUGAGUGCAGGAGAGGAGAGUGGAAUUCGUGGUGUAGCGGUGAAAUGCGUAGAUAUCAGGAGGAACACCAGUUGCGAAGGCGGCUCUCUGGACUGUAACUGACGCUGAGGCACGAAAGCGUGGGGAGCGAACAGGAUUAGAUACCCCAGUAGUC
rnacentral:rRNA from 1 species